rnacentral:lncRNA from 1 species
UUUGGCGGGGCUUUUGUCUCUCGCUGCAGCCAGAGCUUGGGAUCGCUUUCUGCUAUUCAACGUCCUCCACCUCUGCCCCCCUCUCGCCCCAGCCGGUGACAGGCUGUUGCCCUGUGAUCUGCAGGUCCUGGGACGUGCACAGACAGCUAAGAUGCCAGGACAUUCCAGAAGGUGGGAAAGGCACCUGAGUAAUUUGACUCUCCUGCCUGGACCCAGCGUACAGAUGGGAUUGUGCUUCAUUGCUGGACCCAGCAUUUAGGCCCACUACCUAUGAGAUUGCAUGCUCCUGCCUGGGCUGUGCCCACAGUGACCUUGUGACAUAUAUCUGCAUCCAUGACCUAAAAGAUGUGACACUUCUUGCCUGCAACCUGCCCUGCACAGGAAAGAUUGCGACUUCUCCCUGGAAGCAGACACCAGGGAUCGUCACUCCCGUGGAUGAUCAAAGGCGCCUGUAAUUUCAGCUACUCCGGGGGCUGAGGCAGGAGAAUCGCUUGAACUCGGGAAGCAGAAGUUGCAGUGAGCCAAGGUCGCACCACUGCACUCCAGCCCAGGCGACAUUGUGAGACUCCAUCUCAAAAAAAAAAAAAAGAAAAAAAGUGUACUAACAAGACCCAGCACACAGAGGAGACUUUUACCAUUGUAUGAACACCCAUCAAACAGUACACAUCAUCAUUGUGAGUUCUGAAUCUCACACAUAGAGGAAGUCAAAGGUGGAAAACUUGACUCUCAUAUUUGGAUCCAGUCCACAGGUGUGAUUUUGACGCACACUUCUGCCCAGCACCUGAGUAAUGUGAUUCUUCAGAAUUGGCCCGGCCCACAAAUAGGAUUGUGCCACACUGCUGGACCCAGUGCCUAAGUGAUGUAACUCUAUUCUUCUGCCUUGGUGCUACUCGAAAAAGACAUUGUAACAUAUCUCAGAGCCUUACACCCAGGUAAUGUGAGUCUCCUCUUCUGCCUUGCUGCUGCACACAGAAGCGGAAUAUGUACAGGAUUGUUAAUCUCAUCUUGGAUCUUCCUGCACUUGUGAUUGUGACACAUGCCUCUGUGUAGAACCUGAGUGAGUUUACUCUCCUGCCUGGAUUUAACCCAUAGAUGGAAUCGUGACAUAUCACUGUACCAGAAACUAGGUGAUGUGACUCUAUUUUCUUGCCUCUGUGUUUUUAUAUGGGGCAUCGUGACAUAUCACUGGGCCUUGCACCCAAGUGAUGGGAGUUUUCUCUCCUGCUUUGGUGCCGUCCACAAUGAAAAUUGUGAAAUAUUGCUGCCCUCCCCACUAGGUUAUGUUACUCUCCUGCCUCUGCUUUGCCCACAUGGGUCACUGUGACAUAUUGCUGGGUCUAAAACCCAGGUAAUGUCACUCUCUUGUUUGGGUUCUGCCUGCAGGAGUCAUUGUCACAUAUCUCUAUGCUCAUCACCCAGGUAAUAUGAUUCCCUUUUACUGCUUAGUUCCUUCUCACAAAACAACUUGUGACAUAUUGCUAGGCCCAAUACACCUAGCUGGUGUAACUCUUCUUUUCUUUUCUUUCCUUUUUUUUUUUUUUUUUUUGAGAUGGAGUCUCACUCUGUUGCCCAGGCUGGAGUGCAGCGGCAUGAUUUCAGCUCACUACAGCCUCUGCCUCCUAGGUUGAAGCGAUUGUCCUGACUUGGCCUCCCAAGUAGCUGGGAUUAAAGGCAUGUGCCACCACGCCCGGCUAAUUUUUGUAUUUAUAGUAGAGACAGGGUUUCGCCAUGUUGGCUAGGCUGGUUUCGAACUUCUAACCUCAGGUGAUCCUCCUGCCUCGGCCUCCCAAAGUACUGGAAUUACAGGCAUGAGCCACUGCACCUGGCCUGAUUCUUCUCUUCUUUCUAGGUUUCAACUGCAGCAGAGAUUGUAACAAACCACUGGGCCCAGCCGCAUAAUGAUGUUACUCUUUUGCCUUGGGCCUGCCCUCAGAAGGCACUGUCACAUAUUCAUGGGCCCAACGCCAAGGUGAUAUGUGUCUCCAGCCUGGACCCUGCCCACAGGGGGCAUUGUGACAUAUCUCUUGGCCCAUCAGAUGUUUGAUUGUUAUCCCCUCCCCUCUUCUACCCUGUGUUUGCCUAUAAAAGACACAGUCAUAUGUUCCUGGGCCCAGCACCUAGGUGUUGUCUUACUGGAAUGUGUCCACAUGGGGAUUGUGAUAUGUCACGUGGCCCAGUACUUAACUUGAUGUGACUCUCCUCUCAUGCCUAGGCCUUGUAGAGAAUCCCCUUCCCCUUUUGUUUUCCUUUUUUUCUUUGCAGAUCCAGGAGAUAAUCAACUAAGAGCCAGGCACCCGUUUAGGUCUAAUAAACAUUUUACAAACUGCUCUCUCUUUUAAUUCACCUAUCUGAGAGAUUCCUCUGUACAAUAAAACUUGGUCUCCACAAUCCUUUACCUUAACCUAAACCUUCCCUUUCAUUGAUCCCAGGUCUUCAGAUUCCACCACUUGUCAACCACAAAAUAUUUAAAUUUACCUGGAAGCCGCCCGCUUUGAGUUGUCCCGCCUUUCUGAACCAAACCAAUAUAUUCCUGCAAAACCGGCCAUGAUUAAAACAUCAAAAA